UGGGCCAAGGCAGAAAUUUCCCCUGUUCCUCUAUUCCCUAAAUGCCUCUGCAGCAUCAGCUUGAAAUGGUCAAGGCACCAAACCAGGCACAGCUGGGAGAAACAGGACAUGUCUCUGAAUGCUGCCUCCGGGUGACCCACGAGAAUGUUCUACGUGGAGAAUGAUUGCUGAGAACUUCGAGUUUCUAUUAGAAUGAAGUCUCCUCUCUCUUCUCCAGCUGAACCUUUAUUCCAAGGGCUUCUCCUUCAGCUCGGCACAGCCCACCACUAGCAGGACAGAGUCCCCUUUGCUGGGUUGAGUUUCCAGGUCAAAUGUGCUUCUCCAAAGUAAUCACCAUGUGGUGUUCGGUAGUCUUAUCCUGAGUCUGUCCUCUGUGGAUUUCUCUGCUUUGAAACUGGUAGAAGGCUGGAUCAGUAACCACGACUAAAUACAAACAUCAACAAUAACUUUUCCAAGAAGCCACGUUACGAUCACUUAGCCCCGACAUGCUUGUAUGCUCCCUCUUAUUGACACGGCUUGUUUUUGGACCCGUGCUAGGAUAAUUAUUCUGCAAACAAAACAAAAGUCUGCAAACUCUGCUGCUUGUCUAAGUGUGAGCAUAGCCAUGACAGAAGAGCUGAAGUCAAAUCUGUUGGCCACGUGUGCAAUGUGGAGGUACUUGUGGAGACUCGGGGCUAGAAAGAAGAGCACCCUGACCGUGAAAACCAACUGUGUCUCAGCAACCGUUGAAGGGACAGACCUGCCACAGGAUACUUCACUUCCCUGAAAGAAAAGGCUCCCAUUCCAGAGCAGGGAGAGCAACCUUGGUCCAUUCUCAGGAUGAGUGCUGGAAGGUUCUGUGUGAAUGCGCUCCCAGGGAGUCCUGUGGGAAAGUCCCCUUAUCUUGCUUCUUGAGAGAAAGUUUGGAAGCUCACCCAAAAAACCGGUAUUCUUACAAAACAAGAAGGAAACACAACACACGUUUGAACCCCUUGUGUUGGAUCUUGACAGAUGUGUGUAUGCAUUAGAUUUUCCCACAACAAAUAAAUAAUGAUUUGAGUAAAACCAGAAA